rnacentral:rRNA from 1 species
AGGACAAACGCUGGCGGGGUGCAUGAGACGUGCAAGUCGAACGAGGUGCCAUCGGGCUUGCUCGAUGGUUACCUAGUGGCGGACGGCUGAGUAACGCGUAGGUGACCUACCCGGAAGUGGGGAAUAACUGCCCGAAAGGGUGGCUAAUACCGCAUGUGGUCGGCGAUUCGAUUCGCCGUCUAAAGGAGCAAUUCGCUUCCGGAGGGGCCUGCGUCCGAUUAGCUAGUUGGUGGGGUAACGGCUCACCAAGGCGACGAUCGGUAGCUGGUCUGAGAGGAUGAUCAGCCAGACUGGGACUGAGAACGGCCCAGACUCCUACGGGAGGCAGCAGUCGGGAAUUUUGCCCAAUGGACGAAAGCCUGACGCAGCAACGCCGCGUGAGGGAUGACGGCCUUCGGGUUGUAACCUCUUUUGUCUAGGGACGAUGAUGACGGUACCUGACGAUAAGCCACGGCUAACUACGUGCCAGCAGCCGC